GUCGCUUCUUGAUCUUUUGGCUAAGAUCAAGUGUAGUAUCUGUUCUUAUCAGUUUAAAAUUGAUGAUUUGCCAGGGUUUUUGUAAAUCUAUACCAUUCCAGGGGUAUAAUUUCACAACCACAC
rnacentral:snRNA from 1 species